rnacentral:rRNA from 1 species
CAGUCGCCGCGGUAAUACAGAGGGUGCGAGCGUUAAUCGGAUUUACUGGGCGUAAAGCGUGCGCAGGCGGUUAUAUAAGACAGAUGUGAAAUCCCCGGGCUCAACCUGGGAACUGCAUUUGUGACUGUAUAGCUAGAGUACGGCAGAGGGGGAUGGAAUUCCGCGUGUAGCAGUGAAAUGCGUAGAUAUGCGGAGGAACACCGAUGGCGAAGGCAAUCCCCUGGGCCUGUACUGACGCUCAUGCACGAAAGCGUGGGGAGCAAACAGGAUUAGAUACCCCAGUAGUCCCUGUCUCUUAUAC